GGAUCCAGCUCUGUGUCCAUGAACAGUGACACGUCCAGAGAUUAUCCUCCAGUCUUCAGUCAUGAACAUGGACCCUCAGUCACACAACGUCAACAACACAAACACAGAGCAGAGUUUCCAGGAUCCAGCUCUGUGUCCAUGAACAGUGACACGUCCAGAGAUUAUCCUCCAGUCUUCAGUCAUGAACAUGGACCCUCAGUCACACAAGAAACAAAGCGUAAUAAUUUUUUCGUGGGGAAGCCAACAUCCUGUUGUGUGUCGUGUCAUGGUGCCCUGAAGGAUUCAUCAGACUUCUGUCCACAGUGUAGAGAA